rnacentral:rRNA from 1 species
UACGUAGGGUGCAAGCGUUAAUCGGAAUUACUGGGCGGAAAGCGUGCGCAGGCGGUUAUGUAAGACAGAUGUGAAAUCCCCGGGCUCAACCUGGGAACUGCAUUUGUGACUGCAUAGCUAGAGUACGGUAGAGGGGGAUGGAAUUCCGCGUGUAGCAGUGAAAUGCGUAGAUAUGCGGAGGAACACCGAUGGCGAAGGCAAUCCCCUGGACCUGUACUGACGCUCAUGCACGAAAGCGUGGGGAGCAAACAGG